rnacentral:rRNA from 1 species
ACUUGCUUGACUAGGUCUUAUAAAGUUCUGGAUAAAGCUUAUUAUGAAAACUUUAUAUCCAUAGGUCUCGACCAAAUCUUGUGCCAGCAGUCGCGGUAAGACAAGGGAGACGAGUGUUAUUCAUCUUUAACAGGUAUAUAGGGUACCUAGACGGUGUGCAAUGGCUUAAAUAAGUACCUGGUACACUUGAGUUUGAUAUGUGAGAGGAAUAUGUCGGAAUUGUUGGAGGAAAGAUGAAAUUUGUUAAUACCAAUAGGACUGAUAACGGCGAAGGCAAACCUCUAUGUACAUGUACUUGCUAUUUCUGUUUUUAUUAUAGCAAAAUAGCAAUGUACUAUAACUGACGUUGAGGGACGAAGGCUCAGAGAGUGAAGAGGAUUAGAUACCCCCGUAACCUGGGCAGACAAUGAUGAGUGCCAUAGGUUGGCUUUAAGGCGGAACUAUAAAUGAAAGUGGAAGCACUCCACCUCAAGAGUAAUGUUGCAACGCAGGAAAUUAAUUUAGCAAACUAAUGAUCUAGACUAGUCCACCAUAUAUUUGGUCUAUAA